rnacentral:rRNA from 1 species
GACGAACGCUGGCGGCGUGCUUAACACAUGCAAGUCGAACGAAGAGCGAUGGAGGCUUGCUUCUAUCAAUCUUAGUGGCGAACGGGUGAGUAACGCGCAAUCAACCUGCCCUUCAGGGGGGGACAACAGUUGGAAACGACUGCUAAUACCCCAUACGAUCCGACCUCGGCAUCGAGGAUGGCUGAAAGGUGGCCUCUAUUUAUAAGCUAUCACUCAAAGUGGGGAUUGGGUCUGAUUAGCUAGUUGGAGGGGUACCGGCCCACCAAGGCAAUGAACAGUAGCCGGGCGGAGAGGAUGGACGGCCACAAUUGGACUGAGACACGGGCCAAGCUUCUUAGGGAGGCAGCAGUGGGGGAUCAUCCGAAAAGGAGGAAAGUCUGGCGGCAGAACGCCGGGGUGGUGAUAAAGGCCGUCGGGUUGGAAAGCUCGGUUUGUCGGGACGAAAGGUCUGCUUGCGAAUAGUUAGAAGAAUUGACGGUACCGGAAUAGAAAGCCACGGCUAACUACGUG